rnacentral:rRNA from 1 species
UACGUAGGGUGCAAGCGUUGUCCGGAAUUAUUGGGCGUAAAGAGCUCGUAGGCGGUCUGUCGCGUCUGCUGUGAAAACUCAGGGCUUAACCCUGAGCUUGCAGUGGGUACGGGCAGACUAGAGUGCGGUAGGGGAGACUGGAAUUCCUGGUGUAGCGGUGAAAUGCGCAGAUAUCAGGAGGAACACCGGUGGCGAAGGCGGGUCUCUGGGCAGUAACUGACGCUGGAGGAGCGAAAAGCGUGGGGAGCGAACCGG